rnacentral:rRNA from 1 species
AUAUGUCUGGGAAAUGCCUGAUGAGGGGAUACUACUGAACGGUAGCUAUACGAUACGUCGCAGACAAGAGGGGACUUCGGGCUCUGCAUCAAUGUGCAAAUGGAUAGCUAGUAGGUGGGUACGGUCACUAGGGAGAUCCCUACUGUCUGAAAGUGAUCCCCCAAUGGUAUGAAAAAGGACCAAAUCCUACGGGAGGCAGAGGAAUAUGGCAUGGGUGAGAGCCUGAUCAAGCCAUCCCGCGUGAAGGACGACUGCCCUAUGGGUUGUGAACUUCUUUUGUAUAGGGAUAAACCUACCCUCGUGAGGGUAGCUGAAGGUACUAUACGAAUAAGCACCGGUUAACUCCGUGCCAGCAGCCGGGUAAUACGGAGGGUGCAAGCGUUAUCCGGAUUAUGGGUUAAAGGGUCCGAGCGGAUCUGUAAUCAGGUGAAAUCUCAACAGUUUAAANUGUGAAACUGCCAUUGAUACUGCAGGUCUUGAAGUGUGGUGAAGUAGCUGGAAUAAGUAGUGUACGGGAAAUGCCUAGAUUUUCACUUUAGAAACACCAAUUGCGAAGGGCCAGGUUANACCNUUAAAAGGCCCAAAACAACUGACGCUGAU